rnacentral:rRNA from 1 species
UGCGCCUUGCCACGCCCGCUCAGAAACUACAAAGGAAUUGACGGGGGCCCGCACAAGCGGAGGAGCAUGUGGUUUAAUUCGAUGAUACGCGAGGAACCUUACCUGGGCUUAAAUGCUUAAUGACGUACUGGGAAACUGGUAUUUCUUCGGACAUUUUGCAAGGUGCUGCAUGGUUGUCGUCAGCUCGUGCCGUGAGGUGUCGGGUUAAGUCCCAUAACGAGCGCAACCCCUAUUGUUAGUUGCCAUCAGGUCAUGCUGGGGACUCUAACAAAACUGCCCGCGUAAGCGUGGAGGAAGGUGGGGAUGACGUCAAAUCAGCACGGCCCUUACGUCCAGGGCUACACACGUGCUACAAUGGCCGGUACAGAGGGCAGCCACUUGGUGACAAGGAGCAAAUCUCAAAAGCCGGUCUCAGUUCGGAUCGGAGUCUGCAACUCGACUCCGUGAAGUUGGAUUCGCUAGUAAUCGUAGAUCAGCAAUGCUACGGUGAAUACGUUCCCGGGCCUU